rfam:Thiotrichales bacterium SG8_50 WOR_8-12_24599, whole genome shotgun sequence.
CAGUGGGAGUUAGUCCCACCAAGAGAAAAGUUAGAGCCUUGUAGCUUGGAUAGCAUGGUGGCGGGUAACCAAAACCAUGAAGCCUAUCGACAGAGUCACCUAUAGGGUGGCUGCGAGUCGGCGGGCCGUAAUGAAA